GAUGGUUUGGCGAGUGGUCUAAGGCGCCAGAUUUAGGCUGCUGGUCCUGAAAGGGCGUGGGUUCAAAUCCCACAGUUGUCA
rnacentral:tRNA from 1 species